rnacentral:rRNA from 1 species
AACGAACGCUGGCGGCAUGCCUAACACAUGCAAGUCGAACGAGACCUUCGGGUCUAGUGGCGCACGGGUGCGUAACGCGUGGGAACCUGCCCUUAGGUUCGGAAUAACUCCCCGAAAGGGGUGCUAAUACCGGAUAAUGUCUUCGGACCAAAGAUUUAUCGCCUUUGGAUGGGCCCGCGUUGGAUUAGCUAGUUGGUAGGGUAAAAGCCUACCAAGGCGACGCUCCAUAGCUGGUCUGAGAGGAUGAUCAGCCACACUGGGACUGAGACACGGCCCAGACUCCUACGGGAGGCAGCAGUGGGGAAUAUUGGACAAUGGGCGAAAGCCUGAUCCAGCAAUGCCGCGUGAGUGAUGAAGGCCUGAGGGUUGUAAAGCUCUUUUACCCGGGAUGAUAAUGACAGUACCGGGAGAAUAAGCUCCGGCUAACUCCGUG